rnacentral:tRNA from 1 species
GAGGGUGUAGCUCAGUGGUAGAGUGCAUGCUUAGCAUACACAAGGUCCUGGGUUCAAUCCCCAGUGCCUCUA